rnacentral:rRNA from 1 species
CCUACGGGUGGCAGCAGUGAGGAAUAUUGGUCAAUGGGCGGAAGCCUGAACCAGCCAAGUAGCGUGCAGGAUGACGGCCCUACGGGUUGUAAACUGCUUUUAUACGGGAAUAACGCGCCUUACGUGUAGGGCUUUGCAUGUACCGUAUGAAUAAGGACCGGCUAAUUUCGGGCCAGCCGCCGCGGUAAUACGGAAGGUCCGGGCGUUAUCCGGAUUUAAUGGGUUUAAAGGGAGGGUAGGCCGGAUGUUAAGCGUGCUGUGAAAUGUCCGGGCUCAACCCGGGCCUUGCAGCGCGAACUGGCGUGCUUGAGUCCGCGAGAAGCAGGCGGAAUUCGUGGUGUAGCGGUGAAAUGCUUAGAUAUGACGAAGAACCCCGAUUGCGAAGGCAGCUUGCUGCAGCGGAACUGACGCUGAUGCUCGAAAGCGCGGGUAUCGAACAGGAUUAGAUACCCGGGUAGUC